rnacentral:tRNA from 1 species
UCCCAUAUAGUGCAGAGGUUUAGCAUAUUUGAUUUUCACUCCAAAGACCCGGGUUCGAACCCCGGUGUGGAAA